UUUUAACACUUUACCGCUUUCCUCCCUCGGAAGCACUAACAAAUACGAUGUCGUCGUGAAGAAACGUUAGGCCUAAAAAGAGCGUCAUCGUGAGGACUCACUGAAGAACGCUGGUAAGGUAAAGGUAAAAUACAUGUGUAAAUUUUGCUUAAAGAGUUGCUCUAAAACGAUUUUGCAGGUUAUAAAUACUUUCCGGUUUUCUGCAGUGGUACUAACGUUAGCGGAUAGGGGUCAUUGUGAAGUAGGCUGGCAAAGAGACCUCGUGAUAGGCUCACUGAAGAACGCUGGUAAGUUCAUUGUAAAUAAUAAUUAUUGUUAAAUAAUUGUUUAUAAUUGUUGUUGCUUAGUUGCCUAACAUAAAAGUCAAAGCCGAAUCGCACAGGAAUAGUAUUAUCUGGGGACCUCGUGUGAGCGCAUAUUGUGGUACACAAAUGGUUAAGUUUCAUUCUCUGUAAUGAGUCGCGCCUCCGUAGCUCACUUCGCUAACAGGAUUGGCUUUGCCUUUCUUGAGUCCCGCCUCUCUAACCGAAGUCGCAUUAUGAUUGGCUUUGCCUUCUCUCACAAACGUUCUUUCACUAGCUAAGGAUGCAGCUGAUUCGGUUGUAUUAACUAAGCGCCAAAGCUUUUUUUUAUUAUUAAAGCGUCAAAGCUAAGCGGUGUCAAGACGCGAUGAGCAUGAUUAUGCAGGUUACCCGCUGCACUAGCAGACAGGCGGUCAUGAAACAGGUGGGGAGGUGGAGAGAGCUGUCAUGAUAAAGACCCCUGUAGUUUUCUGGUGACCUGUCGGAAGAAAAUGUGGAAUUGUAAAUUCUGCAUUUUUAGGUCUGAUAAAACAAGAAAUUCU